rnacentral:lncRNA from 1 species
GUUUUCCCUCUUCCUCUGUCCCCCCACUCCUGCCCUGAUUCCUUUUACAGCAAGACUUACUCUUAUUAGCUAUCGUUUGCUGCAUGCUCAAGGCUCUCAUCCAUUCUCUUUACUUCUCAGAACUGCCAUUUCAAGAAGGGGUCAUUACACCAUGUCCUUGACAAGGAAGUCUAAGCUGGGAGGCUGGGAUGGCUACCCUUCUUCAUCCAAAAUACAAUGCUGGUGUCAGACUCACAAUUGUCCUGCCUUCACCUCCCAAGUAUUGUGACUAUAGACCUGCACCACACACAGGUGGAGCAUGCUGACUGCUAACAACCUGCUGAGCCUUUUUGGUGUACCAACACCACCUGGAGUCAUCGUGUUUGCAUCCUAUACAUACCCUGCAGCAGCUCUGUCACAAGACAUGCUUAUCAAACUCACCCAUGAAAAGAGAUUCAGAAGAAUUUCAGGAUCCAUUCUUGAGAUCAUAUCACUGUUGUGUAACAGUUUCUUCAAGAUUGAAACAUCCUAUCUGACAGGGAAGUUCCUUAAACAGGAAGGUGAACAACUCAAAAUAGCUUCAGGAAGUCCCUGAAGCUGACCUGAUUCACUAGGCUCCACUCCCAGAGAGUAAGCAAUAAGAGUGGUGCAUCUGAGCUGCAGAGAAGACUGAGACCAAACCAGCUGCCUGGGGGAAGCAGAAACCAGUAAAGCUGCCUGGAAGAGAGACCAGAGUCACUUGGAAAGAAGCUCUCCAACCUGUUGAGCUGCCUGAAGGCUGUGCAGUGUGCUAUAGGUUCCCAGCUUUGUGAGCUGUCAUUUGUUUUAGGGUGGGCUUUGGUUAUGCAGUUGUCUGUGAGUCAUUUCUGCUUGUGUAAGUAACCCCUCACCCAUAUUCCGGUCAGUAACUCUUCACCCAUACUUCUAUAAGGAAUCCCAAUAAAACUCAUUGGUUGACCAAGUUGGACUUUGUUGGUAUUUAUACUUUGGUCUGUCAUGGGAUCCCUAUCUGGGGUGAGUAGAUGUGUGUGGUGUUUCCUCAGGAAAAGUUUUGUCACAUAACAAUCAUCCCAACUGGCAGGAACAGGACUUAACAGUCAAGUCCUCCAAACACAGAACAAGCCAGCCUUCCUAUGCUCACAUCCUGGCUCUCUCCUUGCUAUCUGUUUCACUUUGUAUUUAGUUUCUUUGUCUGUAAAAUGGGCUAAUAAUAAAAGCUGC